AGAGCGAACGCUGGCGGCAGGCUUAACACAUGCAAGUCGAGCGGGCGUAGCAAUACGUCAGCGGCAGACGGGUGAGUAACGCGUGGGAACAUACCUUUGGUUCGGAACAACACAGGGAAACUUGUGCUAAUACCGGAUAAGCCCUUACGGGGAAAGAUUUAUCGCCGAAAGAUUGGCCCGCGUCUGAUUAGCUAGUUGGUGAGGUAACGGCUCACCAAGGCGACGAUCAGUAGCUGGUCUGAGAGGAUGAUCAGCCACAUUGGGACUGAGACACGGCCCAAACUCCUACGGGAGGCAGCAGUGGGGAAUAUUGGACAAUGGGCGCAAGCCUGAUCCAGCCAUGCCGCGUGAGUGAUGAAGGCCCUAGGGUUGUAAAGCUCUUUUGUGCGGGAAGAUAAUGACGGUACCGCAAGAAUAAGCCCCGGCUAACUUCGUGCCAGCAGCCGC
rnacentral:rRNA from 1 species